rnacentral:rRNA from 1 species
ACGAACGCUGGCGGCGUGCUUAACCCCUGCAAGUCGCACGGUAAGGCCCCUUCGGGGGUACACGAGUGGCGAACGGGUGAGUAACACGUGAGCAACCUGCCCUUGACUCUGGAAUAACAGUUGGAAACAGCUGCUAAUACUGGAUAUUCAUCGUCUCCUUCCUGGGGGGUGGUGGAAAGCUCCGGCGGUCAGGGAUGGGCUCGCGGCCUAUCAGCUUGUUGGUGAGGUAAUGGCUCACCAAGGCUUCGACGGGUAGCCGGCCUGAGAGGGCGACCGGCCACACUGGGACUGAGAUACGGCCCAGACUCCUACGGGAGGCAGCAGUGGGGAAUAUUGCACAAUGGGCGCAAGCCUGAUGCAGCAACGCCGCGUGCGGGAUGACGGCCUUCGGGUUGUAAACCGCUUUCAGUAGGGACGAAGGGUGACUGACGGUACCUACAGAAGAAGGACCGGCUAACUACGUG